UCCCUGGUGGCUCAGAGGUUAAAGCGUCUGCCUCCAGUGCGGGAGACCUGGGUUCGAUCCCCGGGUUGAGAA
rnacentral:tRNA from 1 species